GCAAAGUAGUGGCGAAGAAGCUCAAACACAAUAAAGACAAACAAUUGGCACAUACCAAAACACUAGAAAACCUCAACCAUCGCUUGAUACAGGCCACUAGAUCUGGCCAAACUGCAGCAUAUGCUAAGAAGAUAGAGGCUUAAAUUGCAUGGGACCAAGGCGUUUUAGUAGCCUUUGGGUCGGCCAUUUGUGUCUCUUGCUAGCGGACUCCUUUGCGAACCUCCUCUCCCCAUGACAACAACACCACCGUUCA
rnacentral:misc_RNA from 1 species